UACGUAGGGGGCAAGCGUUGUCCGGAUUUACUGGGCGUAAAGAGCGUGUAGGCGGCCACGCAGGUCCGUUGUGAAAACUGGAGGCUCAACCUCCAGCUGUCGACGGAAACCGUGUGGCUAGAGUCCGGGAAGAGGAGAGUGGAAUUCCUGGUGUAGCGGUGAAAUGCGCAGAUAUCGGGAAGAACACCCGUGGCGAAGGCGGCUCUCUGGGGACGGUACUGACGCUGAGACGCGAAAGCGUGGGGAGCGAACAGG
rnacentral:rRNA from 1 species